GACGAACGCUGGCGGCGUGCUUAACACAUGCAAGUCGAACGGAAAGGCCCUGCUUUUGUGGGGUGCUCGAGUGGCGAACGGGUGAGUAACACGUGAGUAACCUGCCCUUGACUUUGGGAUAACUUCAGGAAACUGGGGCUAAUACCGGAUAGGAGCUCCUGCUGCAUGGUGGGGGUUGGAAAGUGUCGGCGGUUGGGGAUGGACUCGCGGCUUAUCAGCUUGUUGGUGGGGUAGUGGCUUACCAAGGCUUUGACGGGUAGCCGGCCUGAGAGGGUGACCGGCCACAUUGGGACUGAGAUACGGCCCAGACUCCUACGGGAGGCAGCAGUGGGGAAUAUUGCACAAUGGGCGGAAGCCUGAUGCAGCAACGCCGCGUGCGGGAUGACGGCCUUCGGGUUGUAAACCGCUUUCGCCUGUGGCGAAGCGUGAGUGACGGUAAUGGGUAAAGAAGCACCGGCUAACUACGUG
rnacentral:rRNA from 1 species